CCUACGGGAGGCAGCAGUGAGGAAUAUUGGUCAAUGGGCGCAAGCCUGAACCAGCCAUGCCGCGUGCAGGAUGAAGCAUCUAUGGUGUGUAAACUGCUUUUGUACAGGAAGAAACACUCGUUCGUGAACGAGCUUGACGGUACUGUAAGAAUAAGGACCGGCUAACUCCGUGCCAGCAGCCGCGGUAAUACGGAGGGUCCAAGCGUUAUCCGGAAUCAUUGGGUUUAAAGGGUCCGUAGGCGGUUUAGUAAGUCAGUGGUGAAAGCCCAUCGCUCAACGGUGGAACGGCCAUUGAUACUGCUAGACUUGAAUUAUUAGGAAGUAACUAGAAUAUGUAGUGUAGCGGUGAAAUGCUUAGAGAUUACAUGGAAUACCAAUUGCGAAGGCAGGUUACUACUAAUAUAUUGACGCUGAUGGACGAAAGCGUGGGGAGCGAACAGGAUUAGAUACCCUGGUAGUCCACGCCGUAAACGAUGGAUACUAGCUGUUCGGAGCAAUCUGAGUGGCUAAGCGAAAGUGAUAAGUAUCCCACCUGGGGAGUACGUUCGCAAGAAUGAAACUUAAAGGAAAUUGACGGCUGAGAGNGACGAGACGACGACGAGGAGGAGG
rnacentral:rRNA from 1 species